rnacentral:rRNA from 1 species
AAAUUAGGCUUGGUUUUCCAAAAAAUAACUAUAAUUUUUUUAUGGCUUUUUUAAAAAAAACCGAAACAGAAAAUACAAUUUACUUAAUAAUAAAAAAUUAUUGAGAUUUAUAGUUAAAUUUAGCUAAUU